GCAAAUCAAAAUUUUCUACCGCGUAAACCAAGAAAACAGCCGUAUAAGGAUCACAGGAUUACCACUCGACGCAAAAAUACGGAAGAUGUAGAUUCGCGUCGAUGCAGCGAAGUCGAUCAGCGUAGUCAUACGUAGUCGAUCAACGUAGUCGUACGUAGUCGAUCAUGUCGAUGUCCAGCAGCUCCUCAGCAGCUCAUCCACGUGCAGCAAGAUCGCCCUCGUGCCGCGGCUCAUCGUCGGCUCGUCGUGGCUCGUCAGCGGCUCGUCGCAGUGCUGCAGUCACAACACCUCCAAGGUAUCCACACGUGCAGGGAGGAAGUGUCGCAAGCCAGACUGCUAGGUACGCGAGUUGCAACAGGCA
rnacentral:lncRNA from 1 species